rnacentral:rRNA from 1 species
UACGCAGGGGGCUAGCGUUGUUCGGAAUUAUUGGGCGUAAAGCGUAUGCAGGCGGAUCGUUAAGUCGGGGGUGAAAUCCCGAGGCUCAACCUCGGAACUGCCUUCGAUACUGGCGACCUUCGAGUCCGGGAGAGGUGAGUGGAACUCCGAGUGUAGAGGUGAAAUUCGUAGAUAUUCGCAAGAACACCAGUGGCGAAGGCGGCUCACUGGCCCGAUACUGACGCUGAGGCACGAAAGCGUGGGGAGCAAACAGG